GCGCCUAUAGCUCAGUUGGUAGAGCAGCUCCCUCUUAAGGAGACGGUCCCUGGUUCGAAUCCAGGUAGGCGCACCA
rnacentral:tRNA from 1 species